rnacentral:lncRNA from 1 species
UGUGAUGGACAAUUGCUGAGAUGCCAUGUACCAGUGAGUAAGCACCUGGUCUCCAUGAAGAAGUAAAACAGCAAAAGUUGCUGUGGUCUUGUGCCUAAGCUCUCAACAUAAGAAUGUAAAUAAUUGGGAUGAGUUUAACCGAGCAUUGCCUGUAAACUACAGCCCUGCCCACCUGCCCCUACUCCUGGCCUUCCAGCUAGAACCCAGAUGCACUAGAUGAAGACAACAGGCUGGCAGGAGAUGAGACAAGAAGUCAGAAGAACCUGAGGUACCGCACAACUCUAAGGUGUCAAGCUUCUACAUUACCAUGUGCGUACUGCUUCUUGUGCGCUACUAAAUAACAG